AGAGUUUGAUCCUGGCUCAGAUUGAACGCUGGCGGCAGGCUUAACACAUGCAAGUCGAACGAUCCCUUCGGGGAUAGUGGCAGACGGGUGAGUAACGCGUGGGAACCUACCUUUAGGUACGGAACAACAGUUGGAAACGACUGCUAAUACCGUAUGAGCCCUAUGGGGGAAAGAUUUAUCGGAGUUGGAUGAGCCCGCGUUGGAUUAGCUAGUUGGUGGGGUAAUGGCCUACCAAGGCGACGAUCCAUAGCUGGUCUGAGAGGAUGAUCAGCCACACUGGGACUGAGACACGGCCCAGACUCCUACGGGAGGCAGCAGUGGGGAAUAUUGGACAAUGGGGGCAACCCUGAUCCAGCCAUGCCGCGUGAGUGAUGAAGGCCCUAGGGUUGUAAAGCUCUUUCAGCGAGGAGGAUAAUGACGUUACUCGCAGAAGAAGCCCCGGCUAACUUCGUGCCAGCCGCCGCGGUAAUUC
rnacentral:rRNA from 1 species